UCAUAUGUACAUGCCUACAACAUUGAUGCACCAAAUCCCAUCAGAACCCCAUAGUUAAGCGCACUUGGGCUAGAGUAGUAAUGGGAUGGGUGACCUCUUGGGAAGUCCAAGUGUUUUACAUGCC
rnacentral:rRNA from 1 species